AUGCCAAAACUUCAAAUAUAUUAUACUCCGUACAUCAGUUUCAUUAGUUUAGUUCUUCCCUUUCCUCUAUCCCCUAUUCGUACUAGAGCUUGCGAAAGCCAUUGAAGAGCUAUAGUUUUUGCGUGUUUUUGGUCAAUUGUGCUUCUUUAUACAAUAUCUAAAUCCAAGUUUUUCCUUUCUCAAUAUUAUUUUCUAGUUUGUAAUUUUAUCAAACCAUAAUUUAUUUGAUAAUUUCGUAGGUUGUCCGGCGGUGGUUAAGGGAGGCAAUAACAAUGGCUUCAACGCAUCCUUUUAACGGGAGCUUAGGAGCUUUAAAGAGAAGAUUUGAACAUUAGUGUUUCUUAAUCAAGCUACCAAUAUUCAGGAAAAUGUCAAUCAUUCCGACUUCAUCAGAACAAGAUCAACAAGAAAAUGAGAUUCAACAACCACCACCAAGGUUGACUUAUCGUGAAAAGUGAAGGAUUGACCAAGCUGAGCUUCGACAAAAAUUCACUGAUCAUAAGAGGCGUGGCCCUACUAGGUAUUUAAAAGAUGUUUCCAAAAGAGCAACAAAUCUAGAAGAAAAGAUUACCUUUACUUUUAUGGAUGAGCUUCAACGUGUGGUUGGUGAAAAGACAAAUGAGUUCAUAUGUGAUUGCAGCAAUCGGGUGGAAGAGUUUUGUCCUUUGAAUGCAUUGAAUUGGGCUAAAAUGGAUCUUGAUGCAAAGAAAAGUUUAUAUGACAAGAUUUUGGUAUUGGAGGUUUAGACUCAAAGAAAAAUACUAUAGAGGCAAAACAAAGGCAGAGGCUAGAGACUAUAGGCCUUCAACUAUUGAUCCGAUACAGUGGGAUUGGUUGGUUUAUGAGUAUUGGAGUUCCCCAAAACAAGAGGCCAUUAGAAAAGUAAAUACAGCAAAUAAACUGAAGUUAACUAAAACACCGGAUAAUGGUGCAAAGUCCAAAGCAAGAAUUUUCUAUGAUAUGAUUAACGAGCCACCAAUUGUUGCCACUCAAGUCAAAGGUUCAUCUGAACAUGCUGAAGUGAAAUAAGAUCCCAUCUAUAUGUGAUUAUAUGAGAAGACAAAAAGUACGUGAGAUUACAAGGAAAGUCCCCAAGAAUAUUAUUUAUUAUUGUUUUGUCUUUCAUGUUACUAUUUAAACAGUUAUGCCUACAUUAGCCUUAUCUCAUACUUAAUAUGCAUAAUGUUUUAGGAUAAUUUCAAUUAAUAAGCAUAUAAAAAAGGAUGGGAGUACUAGUUAGGAACCAAAUGCUAAAAAGAACUAUGAAGACCUCAAAAGGCUUCAUGAAACUUAAAUCGCAGAACAUGGUGAGGACACACUGAGUGUAAAAGAUGCUUAUAUGAAAGUAUUAAAACCUAAAUCUGGAUAUGUGAGAGGACUUCGUCCUGGAGUUCGACCACCUACAAAAGUUAGAACCCAAGGAGAUGAUAUGGAUAGGGUUCAACUCUCUACUCAAGUUCACACACUAAGUGCGUCGAAUGAAGAGCUUAGAGCAUCUAAUGAACAACUUAAAGCAUCAAAUGAGGAGCUCAAAGCAUCAAUUGAGGAGCUCAAAGCAGAAUUUUCAAGAAUGAACAUGGAAGCCAUUGAUCGUGAAAAUAAACUAAGAGAAGAUAUGCUAAAAUGUUUAAGGAAAUGAGGUAAGCAAUUUUUUCAUUGAUGAUUUAACUUAUUUAGGCCAAUGAGUUAUGACGUGAGAUCAUAAUACUGAAACAAGUUUAAGUCUACUAUAUUGUUGAGAUAUUUAAUGCUUGUUUGCUGUGUAUAUGUUAAUUUCUUGUUUAUAUGUACUGUGAUCAAAUUUGGGUUGCAUUGUCUUCCGUAUAGGAGACUUAACUAUGUCCAUAAGUGCAGAAAAAAGGUUUUUUUU